rnacentral:misc_RNA from 1 species
GAUGAAGAACGUAGCAAACUGCGAUACUUGGUGUGAAUUGCAGAAUCCCGUGAACCAUCGAGUCUUUGAACGCAAGUUGCGCCCGAAGCCACUAGGCCGAGGGCACGCCUGCCUGGGCGUCACACGCCGUUGCCCCCCCAUCUACUCCUUCGGGAUUGCGGGGGGGCGGAUGAUGGCCUCCUGUGCGCCUAGCCGCGCGGUUGGCAUAAAUACCAAGUCCUCGGCGACGCACGCCACGACAAUCGGUGGUUGCGAAACCUCGGUUGCCCGUCGUGUGCGUUCGUCGCGCAUCGAGGGCUCGAAAAAAUGCUCGGCUCCGGCUGGGCUUUCAACGCGACCCCAGGUCAGGCGGGGUUACCCGCUGAAUUUAAGCAUAUCAAUAAGCGGAGGA